rnacentral:tRNA from 1 species
UCCCAGGUGGCUCAGAGGUUAAAGCAUCCACUUGCAGUGCGGGAGACCCAGGUUUGAUCCCUGGGUCGGGAA